GAUGAACGCUGGCGGCGUGCCUAAUACAUGCAAGUCGAGCGAACAGACGAGGAGCUUUCUUCUCUGACGUUAGCGGCGGACGGGUGAGUAACACGUGGAUAACCUACCUAUAAGACUGGGAUAACUUCGGGAAACCGGAGCUAAUACCGGAUAAUAUAUUGAACCGCAUGGUUCAAUAGUGAAAGACGGUUUUGCUGUCACUUAUAGAUGGAUCCGCGCCGCAUUAGCUAGUUGGUAAGGUAACGGCUUACCAAGGCAACGAUGCGUAGCCGACCUGAGAGGGUAAUCGGCCACACUGGAACUGAGAAACGGUCCAGACUCCUACGGGAGGCAGCAGUAGGAAAUCUGCCGCAAUGGGCGAAAGCCUGACGGAGCAACGCCGCGUGAGUGAUGAAGGUCUUCGGAUCGUAAAACUCUGUUAUUAGGGAAGAACAAUGUGUAAGUAACUAUGCACGUCUUGACGGUACCUAAUCAGAAAGCCACGGCUAACUACGUG
rnacentral:rRNA from 1 species